CACGUAGGCACCAAGCGUUGUCCGGAUUUAUUGGGCGUAAAGAGCUCGUAGGCGGUUCGGUAAGUCGGGUGUGAAAACUCUGGGCUCAACCCAGAGCCGCCACCCGAUACUGCUGUGACUUGAGUUCGGUAGGGGAGCGGGGAAUUCCCGGUGUAGCGGUGAAAUGCGCAGAUAUCGGGAAGAACACCCGUGGCGAAGGCGGUUCUCUGGGACGGUACUGACGCUGAGACGCGAAAGCGUGGGGAGCGAACAGG
rnacentral:rRNA from 1 species